rnacentral:rRNA from 1 species
CCUACGGGGGGCAGCAGUGAGGAAUAUUGGUCAAUGGACGCAAGUCUGAACCAGCCAUGCCGCGUGCAGGAAGACGGCUCUAUGAGUUGUACACUGCUUUUGUACGAGGGUAAACGCAGAUACGCGUAUCUGUCUGAAAGUAUCGUACGAAUAAGGAUCGGCUAACUCCGUGCCAGCAGCCGCGGUAAUACGGAGGAUUCAAGCGUUAUCCGGAUUUAUUGGGUUUAAAGGGUGCGUAGGCGGUCGGAUAAGUUAGAGGUGAAAUCCCGAGGCUCAACUUCGGAAUUGCCUCUGAUACUGUUCGGCUAGAGAGUAGUUGCGGUAGGCGGAAUGUAUGGUGUAGCGGUGAAAUGCUUAGAGAUCAUACAGAACACCGAGUGCGAAGGCAGCUUACCAAGCUACUUCUGACGUUGAGGCACGAAAGCGUGGGGAGCAAACAGGAUUAGAUACCCGGGUAGUC